CCUACGGGCGGCAGCAGUGGGGGAUAUUGGACAAUGGGGGGAACCCUGAUCCAGCGACGCCGCGUGAGUGAAGAAGUAUUUCGGUAUGUAAAGCUCUGUCAGCAGGGAAGAAAGAAAUGACGGUACCUGACCAAGAAGCCCCGGCUAACUACGUGCAAGCAGCCGCGGUAAUACGUAGGGGGCAAGCGUUAUCAGGAGUGUCUGGGUGUAAAGAGUUGCGUAGGUGGCAUAAUAAGUAGCGAGUUAAAUCUGGUGGCUCAACCAUUCAGACUAUUAGCUAAACUGUUAAGCUCGAGACCGUUAGGGGUAACUGGAAUUUGUAGUGUAGGAGUGAAAUCCGUAGAUAUUAGAAGGAACACC
rnacentral:rRNA from 1 species